UACAGAGGGUGCGAGCGUUAAUCGGAAUUACUGGGCGUAAAGCGCGCGUAGGCGGCUUUGCAAGUCGGGUGUGAAAUCCCCAGGCUUAACCUGGGAACUGCAUUCGAGACUGCAUUGCUAGAGUAUGGGAGAGGGAAGUGGAAUUCCCGGUGUAGUGGUGGAAUGCGCAGAUAUCGGGAGGAACACCAAUGGCGAAGGCAGCUUGCUGGGACGGUACUGACGCUGAGACGCGAAAGCGUGGGGAGCAAACAGG
rnacentral:rRNA from 1 species